rnacentral:rRNA from 1 species
UGGGGAAUAUUGCGCAAUGGGCGAAAGCCUGACGCAGCAACGCCGUGUGAGGGAUGAAGGCUUUCGGGUCGUAAACCUCUGUCGGAAGGGAAGAACGGGCAUUGGUCUAAUAGGCCUUUGUUUUGACGGUACCUUUAGAGGAAGCACCGGCUAACUCCGUGCCAGCAGCCGCGGUAAUACGGAGGGUGCAAGCGUUAUUCGGAAUUACUGGGCGUAAAGCGCACGUAGGCGGCUUCGUAAGUCAGGGGUGAAAUCCCACGGCUCAACCGUGGAACUGCCUUUGAAACUGUAAAGCUUGAAUACUGGAGAGGGUGGUGGAAUUCCUGGUGUAGGAGUGAAAUCCGUAGAUAUCAGGAGGAACACCGGUGGCGAAGGCGGCCACCUGGACAGGUAUUGACGCUGAGGUGCGAAAGUGUGGGGAGCAAACA